rnacentral:piRNA from 1 species
UGUGAUGGGAUCUGAUGCCCUCUA